UACGGAGGGUGCGAGCGUUGUCCGGAAUCACUGGGCGUAAAGGGCGCGUAGGCGGCCUGAUAAGUAGGGGGUGAAAUCCUGCGGCUUAACCGCAGGGCUGCCUUCUAAACUGUCAGGCUAGAGCACAGUAGAGGCAGGUGGAAUUCCCGGGUGUAGCGGUGGAAUGCGUAGAGAUCGGGAAGAACAUCAGUGGCGAAGGCGGCCUGCUGGGCUGUUGCUGACGCUG
rnacentral:rRNA from 1 species